AUUGAACGCUGGCGGCAGGCCUAACACAUGCAAGUAGAACGAGUGGCGGACGGGUGAGUAAUGUCUGGGAAACUGCCUGAUGGAGGGGGAUAACUACUGGAAACGGUAGCUAAUACCGCAUACCAUCGGAUGUGCCCAGAUGGGAUUAGCUAGUAGGUGGGGUAAAGGCUCACCUAGGCGACGCUCCCUAGCUGGUCUGAGAGGAUGACCAGCCAUACUGGAACUGAGACACGGUCCAGACUCAUAGGGGAGGAAGCAGUGGGGAAUAUUGCACAAUGGGCGCAAGCCUGAUGAAGCCAUGCGGCGUGUAUGAAGAAGGCCUUCGGGUUGUAAAGUACUUUCAGCGGGGAGGCGUUACCCGCAGAAGAAGCACCGGCUGACUCCGUGCAAGCAGCCGCGGUAAUUC
rnacentral:rRNA from 1 species